rnacentral:rRNA from 1 species
GAAUAUUGGACAAUGGGCGCAAGCCUGAUCCAGCCAUGCCGCGUGUGUGAAGAAGGCCUUCGGGUUGUAAAGCACUUUUGUUGGGGAAGAAAAGCUUUCGGUUCAUACCCGGUAGUCAUGACCGUACCCAAAGACUAAGCACCGGCUAACUUCGGUCCAGCAGCCGCUGUAAUACGAAGGGUGCAAGCGUUACUCGGAAUUACUGGGCGUAAAGCGGGCGGAGGUGGUUUGUUAAGUCUGAUGUGAAAGCCCUGGGCUCAACCUGGGAAUGGCAUUGGAUACUGGCAGUCUAGAGUGCGGUAGAGGGUAGUGGAAUUCCCGGUGUAGCAGUGAAAUGCGUAGAUAUCGGGAGGAACAUCCGUGGCGAAGGCGACUACCUGGACCAGCACUGACACUGAGGCACGAAAGCGUGGGGAGCAAACAGG